rnacentral:rRNA from 1 species
GUGAAGCGGCAACAGCUCAAAUUUGAAAUCUGGCCCUCGGGUCCGAGUUGUAAUUUGUAGAGGAUGCUUUUGGUGCGGUGCCUUCCGAGUUCCCUGGAACGGGACGCCAUAGAGGGUGAGAGCCCCGUCUGGUUGGACACCAAUCCUCUGUAAAGCUCCUUCGACGAGUCGAGUAGUUUGGGAAUGCUGCUCUAAAUGGGAGGUAUAUGUCUUCUAAAGCUAAAUACCGGCCAGAGACCGAUAGCGCACAAGUAGAGUGAUCGAAAGAUGAAAAGCACUUUGAAAAGAGAGUUAAAAAGUACGUGAAAUUGUUGAAAGGGAAGCGCUUAUGACCAGACUUGGGCUUGGUUGAUCAUCCUGGGUUCUCCCUGGUGCACUCUUCCAGUUCAGGCCAGCAUCAGUUUGCUUCGGGGGAUAAAGGCUUCGGGAAUGUGGCUCCUCCGGGAGUGUUAUAGCCCGUUGUGCAAUACCCUGGAGCGGACUGAGGUUCGCGCAUCUGCAAGGAUGCUGGCGUAAUGGUCAUCAGCGACCCGUCUUGAAACACGGACCAAGGAGUCGUCUUCGUAUGCGAGUGUUCGGGUGUUAAACCCCUACGCGUAAUGAAAGUGAACGCAGGUGAGAGCUUCGGCGCAUCAUCGACCGAUCCUGAUGUUCUCGGAUGGAUUUGAGUAAGAGCAUACGGGGCCGGACCCGAAAGAAGGUGAACUAUGCCUGUAUAGGGUGAAGCCAGAGGAAACUCUGGUGGAGGCUCGCAGCGGUUCUGACGUGCAAAUCGAUCGUCAAAUAUGGCAUGGGG